GAUUAGUUGGGGAGCUGUUACAUCGAUGGUUGAUAUGGCGAUGCUAAGGGACAAAUGACAACGGAGAAUGAAAGAUAUGAAAUUAAAGAAGCUGUGAUUGUGUUUUUCCGGUCCUGUGGGCACUGAAUUAGUUGCUCCGGUGUGGAAACUUGAUGGUGAUAGACAU